rnacentral:rRNA from 1 species
GACGAACGCUGGCGGCGUGCUUAACACAUGCAAGUCGAACGGAAAGGCCCUGCUUUUGUGGGGUGCUCGAGUGGCGAACGGGUGAGUAACACGUGAGUAACCUGCCCUUGACUUUGGGAUAACUUCAGGAAACUGGGGCUAAUACCGGAUAGGAGCUCCUGCUGCAUGGUGGGGGUUGGAAAGUUUCGGCGGUUGGGGAUGGACUCGCGGCUUAUCAGCUUGUUGGUGGGGUAGUGGCUUACCAAGGCUUUGACGGGUAGCCGGCCUGAGAGGGUGACCGGCCACAUUGGGACUGGGAUACGGCCCAGACGCCUACGGGAGGCAUCAGUGGGGAAUAUUGCACAAUGGGCGGAAGCCUGAUGCAGCAACUCCGCGUGCGAGAUGACGGCCUUCGGGGUGUAAACCGCUUUCGCCUGUGACGAAGCGUGAGGGACGGUAAUAAGUAAAGAAGCACCGGCAAACUACUG